CAUUCACACUCACAAUCACUCACAAGAGUAUGAAGACCCUGAGGUGGGCUCUCCUAUCUCUGUGGUUGAAGUCACCGACCGAUGUGGUUAAAAAGCUCCUCGGUGGCAAGACCCCAGGGGUGCAUGAGAUCCGCCCGGAGUUCCUCAAGGCUCUGGAUGUUGUGGGGCUGUCUUGUUUGGACACGCCCCUGCAACAUCUCAAGGUCAUCGGGGAGAGUGCCUCUGGAUUGGCAGACCGGGGUGGUAGUCCCUCUUUUUAAAAAGGGGGACCGGAGGGUGUGUUCCAACUACAGAGGGAUCACACUCCUCAGCCUCCCUGGUAAGGUCUAUUCAGGGGUGCUGGAGAGGAGGGUCCGUCGGGAAGUCGAGCCUCAGAUUGAGGAGGAGCAGUGUGGUUUUCGUCCCGGCCGUGGAACAGUGGACCAGCUCUACACCCUUAGCAGGGUCCUUGAGGGUAUGUGGGAAUUCGCCCAACCAGUCUACAUGUGUUUUGUGGACUUGGAGAAGGCGUUUGACCGUGUCCCUCGGGGAGUUCUGUGGGGGGUGCUUCGUGGGUAUGGGGUACCGAACCCCCUGAUACGGGCUGUUCGGUCACUGUACCACCGAUGUCAGAGUUUGGUUCGCAUUGCUGGCAGUAAGUCGGAAUCGUUUCCAGUGGGGGUAGGACUCCGCCAAGGCUGCCCUUUGUCGCAGAUUCUGUUCAUAACCUUUAUGGACAGAAUUUCUAGGCGCAGCCGAAGCGUUGAUGGGUCCGUUUUGGGGGCCUCAGUAUUGCAUCCCUGCUUUUUGCAGAUGAUGUGGUGCUGUUGGCUCCUUCAAACGGGGCUCUCCAGCUCUCAUUGGAGCGUUUCACAGCCGAGUGUGAAGCGGUUGGGAUGAAAAUCAGCACCUCCAAAUCUGAAACCAUGGUCCUCAGUCGGAAAAGGGUGGAGUGCCCCCUCCGGGUCGGGGAGGAGAUCUUGCCCCAAGGGGAGGAGUUCAAGUAUCUUGGGGUCUUGUUCACGAGUGGGGGUAGGAGGGAGCGGGAGAUCGACAGGCGGAUCGGUGCAGCGUCUGCUGUGAUGCGGACGUUGUAUCGGUCUGUCGUGGUUCAGCGUGAUUAAGCGGUUCAGAAAAUGGAUGGAUGGAUGGAUUCCCUAAUCCUCACUAGUGUCGUGGGGGGUGCUGGAGCCUAUCCCAGCUGUCUUCGGGCAGCAGGCGAGGGACACCCUGAACCGGUUGCCAGCCAAUCGCAGGGCACACAGAGACGAACAACCAUGCGCGCUCACACUCAUACCUAGGGACAAUUUAGUGUGUUCAAUCAGCCUGCUAUGCAUGUUUUUGGAACGUGGGAGGAAACUGGAGUGCCCGGAGAAAACCCACGCGGGCCCAAGGAGGACAUGCAGACUCCACACAGCGAGGCCGGAGCUGGAAUAGAACCCGGUACCACUGCACUGGGAAGUCAACGUGCUAACCACUGGACUACCAGGCUGCCUACUGUAGGACUAAAUACUCAAUAAAAAAGAUUUGCACAAUUAUGUAUUCAAAUACAAAACAUGCUUCGUUAAUAAAAUAUCACCAGUGCUCAUGAUAAAACCAAUGGUGGAUCCCAUUCAAAUGCUAAAGUGAAAGAAAACAUGGUGUUUGGGAGUGUCACACCAUCAAAUAGAGAAUAUUCAGACACGAACACUGUGUAAAUAAUUCCACUCCAAGGCAAAAAUUCUUGUGAAAAACAAGUGUUAGUAAUCGAGGUAAAUCGCAACUUCUGUUCUCAUUCACUCCAUCCAUGCACGGCACCUCACUGCCAACAAGAGGCCAAAAUGCAAAGGAACACCUGAAAUUUAUUUUUAGCGUUGCUAAAUUGCUAUUAUUUAAGUAUAUUCUUAUCUGACUUAAUGACUAAUUAAUUUUAUUAAUAGUUAUAUUACAUUAUAGUUUUAUUUAACGACUGCAAGAAUAAAAAUAGAAUAGCAUGUUGAAGGUGCAGAAAUGAUUAGGCAUGAGGCUAUGAUUACAUGCCCUGUGUAUUUGGUACUUGACUUUUAGUAAUUACAUAAAUACUUAGUUAAGCAUCACUAAAUUGUUUAUUAUUGUGAAACAGGUCUCAAUAAAAAUAAUCUGGAUUAUUAUUUUUUUCAUAAUUUAUGUGAGGUUUGUGUGGUGAUAUUGUCUUUUGACAUUUGGAUAUUGUCACAUUCCUCAUAUUCAGUGCACUACAAAA